UACGGGGGGAGCAAGCGUUGUUCGGAUUUACUGGGCGUAAAGGGCGCGUAGGCGGCCACCGCAAGUCGACUGUGAAAUCUCCGGGCUUAACCCGGAAAGGUCAGCCGAUACUGCGGGGCUAGAGUGCAGAAGGGGCAACUGGAAUUCUCGGUGUAGCGGUGAAAUGCGUAGAUAUUGGGAAGAACACCAGUGGCGAAGGCGGCUAUCUGGACCGGUACUGACGCUGAGGUGCGAAAGCGUGGGGAGCAAACAGG
rnacentral:rRNA from 1 species